rnacentral:rRNA from 1 species
CCUACGGGAGGCAGCAGUGAGGAAUAUUGGUCAAUGGGCGCGAGCCUGAACCAGCCAAGUCGCGUGAGGGAAGACGGUCCUAUGGAUUGUAAACCUCUUUUGUCGGGGAGCAAAAGACGCCACGCGUGGCGUUCCGAGAGUACCCGAAGAAAAAGCAUCGGCUAACUCCGUGCCAGCAGCCGCGGUAAUACGGGGGAUGCGAGCGUUACCCGGUUUUAUUGGGUUUAAAGGGUGCGCAGCGGGAAUAUCAAGUCAGCGGUAAAAUUGAGAGGUUCAACCUCUUCGAGCCGUUGAAACUGGUUUUCUUGAGUGAGCGAGAGGUAUGCGGAAGGCGUGGUGUAGCGGUGAAAUGUAUAGAUA